GAAGUCAAAGGGAGAAGCACCGGUGUUUUUCCUUUCUGCUGGUGCUGGGAAUGGCAGUAUCCCUCAUGUCAGAGAGCUGCUGGCCCGCAAGGCUGGAAGAGGACUGAGCAGCUGAGAGAGCCCAGAGCUCAUCCUGGGAGCUGCAAGAGCAGUGGCCUACCUGCUCUCCUCCAUUCGGCGCUUCUCAAAGGACAGCUGGCUUCUGAGAGGAGGAGGACUGGUGCCCCUGAAACCCACAGCACACCUGGCGCACUACCAAAAAUGGGCAGAGACCUUGCAAAAAACAAGGUACAAGUCACGCUGUCGGUUCUCCCACCAAGGGUUAAGCCACUUCCCCUGAGAACAACUUGAAACUCCUCUGGAGGGAUAAACACACAAAAUCACCAAACUUCAGUGCAUUGCACUUCAGAAGUGGAGAGCUGUAGUAAGACUAGAGGGUGCUCUGCCUUCUGAAUAGACCUGUGCAGUGCCGGACUGCUUCCAGCUGGAACCAGAGCCUGUCCAGGUAAAGUGACCACAGCUGUGAGCUCCUUAACAAAGGUGUGGCUGCUGGGACAAGAGAAGGCAGUGGAAUUCUGUUCUCAGGUAGUCAGUCUCUUGGACUGUAAGAAAAUGAGACAUGGAAUCCAGGGUCCAAACAUCCACUUGUUCAACAACAACACAACAGACUGCUGAGGAAAUGAUUCUGUAGCUUCUCCAUGUGCAGGACUUGUUACAUUGCUGCCCCACUGCAGCAGCAGCAACCAAGCAUCUUAGGUUUUAAAUGCUGGUGGUUUUCAGGGCCAGUUCUUAGAGCAGCUAGCAGAAGAACCAGUGGCAUGAAUGCAGCUUGUGCUCCAAGCUGACUCUGCUGCUGGGCACUGCCCCGCAGGGGUGGCUAGAUGCAGGGCAGCCUCCCAGCCCUUCAGUGAAAUCCUUUCCUUAUGGCUUUUGAGCGGACCCUGUGCAGUUUCCAUAGCAUCUCUCAGUAAAGCAAGUUAAUAAUUUCAGAACAUUUCUGAAAGCAGAAGUUACCAAAAGAGAGGCAUCCAAGAUACCCAGGGGCACUUAUAAGCAAACUCACCCUUGAUACCAACUCUCUGGCACAUGUUGGGUCCUACUUGCCGAAACAAGCUUUUCUUUGCUGAAAGGGUCACUUGUCAAUCAGCUGCUGGGCUGCCCAGCUCCUCUGGGAACACCAUGGCCAUCCCAACUGGGAGCUUUGGAGCUGUGGAGCUUUAAACCACCUGUCUCCAGGUUAUUUCAGUGGCUUACAAGUAAGCACACACGUAAAUCUUCUUAAAACAGUUGUAGGAAGUUAAUUUAUCAGGUCCACUUAUCCAUUAUCAAAAGCUUUACCAGCUUUUCCAUGUGGUCCCACUUUUCACCUAGUGUGUUUUUCCCUGACCAAUCUGCUUGUUAAUGAGUACUUAAAAUCCAUUUCUGUCCUCGUGGCUUUCUAUGCACUUCCCACUAGAAGGUUCCUGAAGGCUCAGGCAAACUUCAGUUCACCAUUUCUAAAGCAGUGGAUUCCCAUUUUUGUCACUUCUAAUGCACUUCCUCCCAUUAGAGCUGUUGAAGAAACACUGCCUCUUUCUGACCUGAAGGUGUCUGAAUUGACCACACACUCGGGUUUUGUCAGCUCUGAGCUCCAGAAACGCCACACACAAAAAUUCUGAUAUCACCACUGAAAGGGCAGACGUCCCUGUAGCACGCUGCACAAAGGCAGACAACCAACAGGAUGACAUCAAGAUCCCCACUGCUCAUAGCCUUUGCAAACUUCACCUCUGUUUAUCAAUUUUGCCUUGUCAGAGAUCUUUCCCCUGCUUUAUGCAAUGUUUCUUCUUGUGGAAAAGUGCUUUGUGGAUCUUCCAGGACCUCUUUAAGCUGUCACAGACCAGGCCUGGCUCUGCCUGGACUCUUUUUUUCACCCUUGCUACUGUCUCUUAAGAGUUCUCACUGUUUAGGAGCGAAGCAGCAUGGCUCCUACAGUUUUUUGAGUAUUUAGCCUGCCAUACCCUAAGCAUAUGCUGUGGAACAGAGCUGUACCAGGUGGCACAGUGCUACACAAACAACAGCUUUUCUUUCCAGGACUCUAAUGAAGGUUGUGUUCUGUGAAAUUGUGAGAACAAUGCACUAGUAACAAGCCAUAAGCAGCCCAGCCGUACAGAGACAAUUAACAAAAUACGCUAAGCGUCAAUUUGUCUUGCAACCUCACUCAGUUUCGCUUAGCCCCGUAUGCAGUUCAAAAGUUUUUGGCAGCAGGCAGCACCAUAAAUCAUAACUUGCAUGGCAUCUGUUCUUGCCCAGAACCAUACACUGUAUACAGGGUUUGGAUAGGUCAUCAUCACAGUCGGAUUCUUCACUGAACCACCAUAAUGAUUUCAAGUCUUGAAAAUGCUCUAUGGCUGUGUAAAGCAUUUGCUUCCUGAGACAGAGGUGAGAAUAACCAGGAACUGCUGGAAGGAAACAGCUGCUGACACGUUUUGGUCAGACUUGGCAUGCUAAUGACUCUGAACAACUAAGGAUUUCUAGAAUCACCAGUAGCCUUUCCUCCCUAUGGAUCCAUUCAAACUUGCACCUCUGUUUACAUCAGAGCUCACCAGAAGCUGACCCCAAAUCAGGCUGCUGUGAUUUUUGGGGAAAGAUAGCACAAGUCUCUGAAUAAAAGUGUAUGUCCUGUAACAGAACAAAUGCAUCCAACUUGCUAUUUCCAGAACCUCAUUUUAAAGAAAAGAAAAUGUUCACCUUUAGAUGCUCAUCUUUGUUUUACUGCCGUAUGGCAAGGCUUGUG